rnacentral:rRNA from 1 species
GACGAACGCUGGCGGCGUGCCUAAUACAUGCAAGUUGAGCGCUGAAGGUUGGUACUUGUACCAACUGGAUGAGCAGCGAACGGGUGAGUAACGCGUGGGGAAUCUGCCUUUGAGCGGGGGACAACAUUUGGAAACGAAUGCUAAUACCGCAUAAAAACUUUAAACACAAGUUUUAAGUUUGAAAGAUGCAAUUGCAUCACUCAAAGAUGAUCCCGCGUUGUAUUAGCUAGUUGGUGAGGUAAAGGCUCACCAAGGCGAUGGUACAUAGCCGACCUGAGAGGGUGAUCGGCCACAUUGGGACUGAGACACGGCCCAAACUCCUACGGGGGGCAGCAGUAGGGAAUCUUCGGCAAUGGACGAAAGUCUGACCGAGCAACGCCGCGUGAGUGAAGAAGGGUUUCGGAUCGUAAAACUCUGUUGGUAGAGAAGAACGUUGGUGAGAGUGGAAAGCUCAUCAAGUGACGGUAACUACCCAGAAAGGGACGGCUAACUACGUG